rnacentral:rRNA from 2 species
UGGGGAAUAUUGCACAAUGGGGGAAACCCUGAUGCAGCGACGCCGCGUGAGUGAAGAAGUAUUUCGGUAUGUAAAGCUCUAUCAGCAGGGAAGAAGAAUGACGGUACCUGACUAAGAAGCCCCGGCUAACUACGUGCCAGCAGCCGCGGUAAUACGUAGGGGGCAAGCGUUAUCCGGAUUUACUGGGUGUAAAGGGAGCGUAGACGGUAAUGUAAGUCUGAAGUGAAAGGCUGGGGCUCAACCCCGGGACUGCUUUGGAAACUAUAUAACUAGAGUACAGGAGAGGUAAGUGGAAUUCCUAGUGUAGCGGUGAAAUGCGUAGAUAUUAGGAGGAACACCAGUGGCGAAGGCGGCUUACUGGACUGUAACUGACGUUGAGGCUCGAAAGCGUGGGGAGCAAACAGG